rnacentral:lncRNA from 1 species
GGUCAUCAACUCUAGACAUCUUAUUGAUAUUUCAAGAUUUAUCAAACGCUACGGAUCAAGAGCAAGCUACUGAAAGUUCCAGGUCUUGCAAAGAGCAUCAUAUCUGGGAUUUACGAUAGCUUCCACCUCUGAACUCCAUUGACAUCACUUGCAAUGUAUAUCGGACAUUCAUCCCUAGCUUGAUAAUGGCCUGGAAAAAACCAUGAAUGCAAAGUAUCCAUCAGAAUAUAGUAUUACAUGAAAACAAUGUUAGUCUCUAGGUAGCUCCAAUACCAUCAUUAAUGUGCCUUCUGUUAGUUUUUG